UACGUAGGGGGCAAGCGUUGUCCGGAAUUAUUGGGCGUAAAGAGCGCGUAGGCGGUCCGGUAAGUCGGCUGUGAAAGUCAAGGGCUCAACCCUUGAAAGCCGGCCGAUACUGUCGGACUAGAGUCCGGAAGAGGCGAGUGGAAUUCCCGGUGUAGCGGUGAAAUGCGCAGAUAUCUGGAGGAACACCGGUGGCGAAGGCGGCGUUCUGGACUGCAACUGACACUGAGGAACGAAAGCCAGGGGAGCAAACGGG
rnacentral:rRNA from 1 species